rnacentral:rRNA from 1 species
AUUGAACGCUGGCGGCAUGCCUAACACAUGCAAGUCGAACGGGGUAGCGAUACCCUAGUGGCGGACGGGUGAGGAAUGCGUAGGAAUCGGCCCACGAGUGGGGGACGAACCUGGGGAAACGUACAGGCUAAUACCGCAUGAGCUCGGGAGAGGAAAGACGGGGGAUCGUAAGACCUCGCGCUGGUGGACGAGCCUACGUCCGAUUAGCUGGUUGGUGGGGUAAAGGCUCACCAAGGCGACGAUCGGUAGCGGGUCUGAGAGGACGACCCGCCACACUGGGACUGAGACACGGCCCAGACUCCUACGGGAGGCAGCAGUGGGGGAAUAUUGGACAAUGGGCGCAAGCCUGAUCCAGCAAUGCCGCGUGGGUGAAGACGGCCUGCGGGUUGUAAAGCCCUUUAGGCGGGGAGGAACGACGGACGUGAAGAGCGUUUCGAAGUGACGUUACCCGCGGAAUAAGCACCGGCUAACUCCGUG